GGUGGCUGGCGGGGCAACGAGGAGCGAGUCCGUUCGCAACGGACUCGCAGCGGUUCCUGAGAACGCCACUGUCGUGUGCGUGCACGAUGCCGCCC
rnacentral:tRNA from 2 species